UUUGAACUGGUGACAUUGAAACUAAAUUUCUAGGUCUCUCUGUCGUACAUGCUACGGCUUGGAGAAGAUGAGCUUAAAUUUUAUCCAGUGUUUCUCGGCCCAUGGUGCUACGGUGCACCCUAGUACCUUUAGGUUAAUCGAGUGGUCCUAUGACUUUGGGGAUGACCACCCUUAGGUUUUUCGACGUGUAGAAUCCAUUUUUGGGGUUAGAUCUUCCAAAUUCUGAGUCUAAGAUGAUGAUCAACAACUAAAAGUUCUAAGAGAAUCCAAUGGCAGAUCAACGGUGAGAUCGCGUCCGAUUGAUGUGAAAUUUCAGCAAGACGAUCAUGGAGCCAAGACGAUCAUAUCUUACGAUCAGAAUCAUAAAUCAGAUUCGGACGAUAAAUCGUUAGCAACCUAACAUAGUCUUGGCGAGAAAAUAAUUGAAGCUGAAAUGGAGUCGACGCUAACGUAGAGCUUUGGCUGACCUGAAACCCCGAGUAGAGCCGAAUAAAUUAUAUUAUUUUAUAUAAUAGCUAUUAAGGACUUUAUAAUUUCAUUUAAUGUUGUAUUUGGAUAAUUUUAAGUUUUUAUCUAUUGUUAUUUGGACGUUUGGUUAUGUACGAGAGUUGGAUUA